ACGUUUGAUCCGUGACUGACGACGACGCUGGCGGCGUGCUUAACACAUGCAAGUCGAACGCUGAAGCACCAGCUUGCUGGUGUGGAUGAGUGGCGAACGGGUGAGUAAUACGUGAGUAACCUGCCCUUGACUCUGGGAUAAGCCCGGGAAACUGGGUCUAAUACUGGAUGCUACAUGUCACCGCAUGGUGGUGUGUGGAAAGGGUUUACUGGUCUUGGAUGGGCUCACGGCCUAUCAGCUUGUUGGUGAGGUAAUGGCUCACCAAGGCGACGACGGGUAGCCGGCCUGAGACGGGUGACCGGCCACACUGGGACUGAGACACGGCCCAGACUCCUACGGGAGGCAGCAGUGGGGAAUAUUGCACAAUGGGCGAAAGCCUGAUGCAGCGACGCCGCGUGAGGGAUGACGGCCUUCGGGUUGUAAACCUCUUUCAGCAGGGAAGAAGCCACAAGUGACGGUACCUGCAGAAGAAGCGCCGGCUAACUACGUG
rnacentral:rRNA from 1 species